GGUGGGCACGGUGACACGUGCCUGUAGUCCCAACUACUCAAGAGGCUAAGGCAAGAGGAAUGCUUGAGCCCAGGAGUUCUGGGUUGUAUACCGAUUGGGUGUCCACACUAAGUUCAGCAUCAGUAUGGUGACUUCCCAGGAACAAGGACCACCAGGUUGCCUAAGGAGGGGUGAACUGGUCCACGUCAGAAAUGGAGCAGGUCAAAACUCCUCUGCUGCUCAGUAGUGGAAUGGCACCUGUGAAUAGCCACUGUACUCCAGCCUGGGCCACAUAACGAGACCCUGUCUCU
ensembl:misc_RNA Metazoa_SRP Metazoan signal recognition particle RNA